UACAGAGGGGGCAAGCGUUGUUCGGAAUUACUGGGCGUAAAGGGCGCGUAGGCGGCCUACUAAGUCGAACGUGAAAUCCCUGGGCUCAACCCAGGAACUGCGUCCGAUACUGGGAGGCUUGAAUCCGGGAGAGGGAUGCGGAAUUCCAGGUGUAGCGGUGAAAUGCGUAGAUAUCAGGAAGAACACCCGUGGCGAAGGCGGCUCUCUGGGACGGUACUGACGCUGAGACGCGAAAGCGUGGGGAGCGAACAGG
rnacentral:rRNA from 1 species